rnacentral:tRNA from 5 species
UCUACUUUGGCAGAUAAGUGCAAUGAAUUUAGAAUUCAUAAAUGUGAAUUAGUUUUACAGGUAGAA